rnacentral:rRNA from 1 species
AGCAGCCGCGGUAAUUCCAGCUCCAAUAGCGUAUAUUAAAGUUGUUGCAGUUAAAAAGCUCGUAGUUGAAUUUCGGGGUUAGUAGGUUGGUCAUGCCACUGGUAUGUACUGGUCUCACUGAUUCCUCCUUCCUGAUGAGCCGUAAUGCCAUUAAUUUGGUGUUGCGAGGAAUCUGGACUGUUACUUUGAAAAAAUUAGAGUGUUUAAAGCAGGCUAACGCUUGAAUACAUUAGCAUGGAAUAAUGAAAUAGGACGUUCGAUCUUAUUUUGUUGGUUUCUAGGAUUGACGUAAUGAUUAAUAGGGAUAGUUGGGGGCGUUAGUAUUCAAUUGUCAGAGGUGAAAUUCUUGGAUUUAUUGAAGACUAACUACUGCGAAAGCAUUUGCCAAGGAUGUUUUCAUUAAUUAAGAACGAAAGUUAGGGGAUCGAAGACGAUCAGAUACCGUCGUAGUCUUAACCAUAAACUAUGCCGACUAGGGAUCGGAUGAUGUUAAUUUUUAAUAACUCAUUCGGCGCCUUAC